rnacentral:rRNA from 1 species
AUUGAACGCUGGCGGCAGGCCUAACACAUGCAAGUCGAGCGAGUGGCGGACGGGUGAGUAAUGUAUGGGGAACUGCCUGAUAGAGGGGGAUAACUACUGGAAACGGUGGCUAAUACCGCAUACUAUCGGAUGAACCCAGAUGGGAUUAGCUAGUAGGUGGGGUAAAGGCUCACCUAGGCGACGAUCCCUAGCUGGUCUGAGAGGAUGAUCAGCCACACUGGGACUGAGAGACGGCCCAGACUCCUACGGGAGGCAGCAGUGGGGAAUAUUGCACAAUGGGCGCAAGCCUGAUGCAGCCAUGCCGCGUGUAUGAAGAAGGCCUUAGGGUUGUAAAGUACUUUCAGCGGGGAGGCGUUACCCGCAGAAGAAGCACCGGCUAACUCCGUGCCAGCAGCCGCGGUAAUUC